rnacentral:lncRNA from 1 species
GCUGGUCGCAACAAUGUCUUCAAACAAGAAAACAAAAGCAUGAAGUCUAUCAACAAUGCUGAAACUGAAAGAAGAUGGCCUAGAAAGCUUGUGACAAAUAUUUGUAUUGGAGCAGCAAAAGAAUCAAUCACCCAAUUCACAGAAAUAUAUAACAUUGUUAAUUAUGUGUCCACGGGUGUCCCCUAUAUAUCACCUGAGACUGAUCACUCAAAUAUUUAGGGGGAAUUACACAGGACUUAUCAACUACUACAAUUUUAAGAUCCCUGGACAUCAGUUAGGGAAAGUUGACGCAAAGGUUUGCUGAGUUCCAGAAGGUCUUCCAAUAACUGCAGGUGGAUCUUUUACCUUUGGAAUGAAGAAACACUAUAUCUACUAGGACAUAAUAGUCAUCCAAAUUUAUUCAGCACUCAUCCAGAAUAAAAGUCUUCAAUUUGUCUCGUCUUCAGUCUGAUAAGAUUCUCCUCAUAUAUCUUUUGUUACAGAGCAAAAACUGAGGAAAAAUGUCCAGAAAAGAGAGUGAUGGAGGAAGCACAUAGCAAU